rfam:Micromonospora aurantiaca ATCC 27029, complete genome.
GGCACAGGCCGUGACUGGCGCGUGGAGAUGGAGCACCAUCGGGGAGCGGCCUCGUCAUGAGGACGCAUGCCGAGCGCCUGGGCCUUCCGC